UCUUUUUUAAUCAGUAGUCUUUAUAAUUCUUCAGUAAACUCAGGUAAGUACACUUUUCUUUUGGGUUGUGCUUGGGAGUGAAGGUGUCCAGUUAGCAUAUGAAGCAGAUUAUGCUGGUAUAGAACGCCAGUUUACUCAAGGAUAAAAAGGUAUUUGCCUAGUGUUUCCCUCUUACGUUAUUUAAGGGACUCAGAGAUACUCUAAACAUUUAUUUACCAAGCCUGCUUUUUAAAAAUAAUAGUAUUUUAGUACUGCUUUAAAUAAACCUGAGAAAUUUUCAUUUGAUUUAGGUCAUUAAAGCAAAACUUGAGCAUGCAAAUCUCUAGUAAAGCUAGCAGUUUCAUUCUUUAUAUGGGAUUUAUUCAUCUUUUAUAUAGGAUUUAUAACAUUUUGAAGGAGAUAAACAUCAUUUUGAACUGACAUAUGUAACAAAAAAUAAAGAAGGAAUUGGCUUUUGGGUUUUUUUUGUUUUGUUUUUGUUUUGAGAUAUAAUCGACAUAGAACAUUUUAAGGAAUUGACUUUUAACUAUUUUGUUUCAAAGUGUUAAUACUAUCCAGGGACUUAGAACAAGAGCCUGGCUGUCAGGUCCCAGAGCUUGAAGCCCAAGGAGUUUCCCUUCCUUUUUUUUUUGGAGUUUUACUUGUUUUUGUUGUCUUUGUAUUAGGUUUUCUUACCCCCUCCCCCUCCUCCUCCCCAGGCAGUAUCCUGUAUUUGUUUUGAUACAAUUAUAAAUAGGAAUAAUUUAUAAGAACUUUCUUAAUGUAGGCAUACCAGAGAGUCUUAACUUUCUAAAUGUAAGUAUAUCAGGCUCUGUUUAACUCAAGAUUAUUAAAUUUUACUACGUAUCUUCUAGCUAGUGUGUGCCCUUAAUGGCAUGGGUUAAGCAGUGGUUGAAAAAUUGUGUGUACUUCACUUUGAAUGACUAGAUGAGAUUUGAAAAGGUUUAACUUUAGGAAUUUCAAGACAAGUUAAAAUAGUAAUGCUGUUUGGAGAAUUUAUGUUUAUUGAUAGUAGGCACCACAAAACAACUGUGUCAGUAAUUCUAAAUAUUCCUCAAAAAGUUAAAAUUUAGUAUCACUCAGUUUGCUUUUGAAUCUUGAAAAUAUUUGUUUAACUUAGGUAAUGUCCCAGAAGAAGCCAAUGUGUGGUUCUCUAAAUUUUUACUUCUUUAGUGUCAUGUGUUAUUUUUAAACCUGCUGGAAUAAUUAAAAACCAGUCUUAUGACAUCAAAUCUUAUGAUAUCAAAGGUAGAUGCCAACUCUACCUUAAAACCCUGUGAUAGGCAAGAAAAAGAUUGUUUCUUAAAUACUUAUCUUACUGUUUGGGGCCAACUUUGUUUCUCCUUGGCCAGGAUUUUACAUUGUAAACUCGGUUAGAAUAACCACACUAAUGGCUGGCAAGUACUAUUUUUUGUAGGCACGUGUGUGCGUGUGUGUGUGUGUGUAUACAUACUUGUGGGAGUACAAAAUUUACUCCCCAGUCCAUCACAGUAAUUUUUUUUUCCAGUUUCCAUUAAUAUCAUUUGUUUCUUACUCAGGUAUAUGUCAUUGAAAGAAUUGCCAGUGUACCAGUAACUUCUAUGUUUGACUUAGGUUUUGUGUGGAAGACAGUGUCCAGAUAUAAUCCAGAGGUAUUAGCAUUCACGGAGGAGUUGGCCUCUCCUGAACCCUGUUUAAUGGUCUGUUAUGGAACAAUUCAUGUUGCAAGCAAAUGUCUCAGGAAUUAAGCCUUCAGUAUAAAAUUAAACAUUUCUAAGCAGGUAAUUAAGUCAAGAGGAGGAAGAAAUGUACUCUCCCAAAUCCCUAUUAUGGUGCUCUAAAAAGAAUACUUCAAGGGCUGCAACGUCUAAGAAACCACUUGUGAAUUUUUUUGUAUAUAAAAAUAAUAUUGUUCUCAGGUGUAACCUUCAGCCUAGUAGAAUGGGCCAACUCUGACCUCGAAAUAUAAUAAUGCAAUCAGUCAGCUUUUGAAAGUCAAAAAAACUUACAGAUUAAUAGCCCCUAUGGUCAAGGUUCCAAUGUAAAUGUAUAAAACCAAUGCCACUGCAUAUUGCAAAUCCUUUGGCCUUCCAAGUUGCGGGAGUUGGAGAAAAAGAGUGAGGCCGUUUACUGCCUACUUCAGCAGCAUUUCAAACAGCAGUGGAAGGUCAUGUGUUGAUAGUAUUAUCCCAGCAAGGAACUACAUAAGUAAUAUACAUCUAAUAUUUUGAGUUGUGUUUUUAUUUGUUGUACUUAAUAGUUUUACAGUCCCAACUCAAUUUUAGAGUAAUGAAUGGAAAUUUAUAGUUUUCUUUCUAGAAACCUAUUUUAAGUUUUGUCGUUAUGAUUGAUCUUCCGUAGGUUAAUGGCCUUCAACCGAAGAAGGGUUACCUAUCUUGGACCUUUCAAAAGGUGUUUGCAGAUGUAAAUUGUUAAAGAUCUCAACAUGAAAACAUCCUAGAUUUAGGAUAGGCCCUAAACUCAAUAACUUGGGUCUUUAUAAGAGAAAGGAGAGGAACAUUUGGACACAGAGACAUGUAAGGAAGAAGGCAAUGUAAAGACAGGAAGACAUUGGAAUUAUGCUGCCACACACCAAGGAAUGCCAGUAGCUACCAGAAGCUAGGAGAAAGGCAAGGAGGAAUUUUCACCUAAAGCCUUUGGAGAAAGUGUGGCUCUGACAAUACCUUGAUUUGGGACUUCUGGCUCCAGAACCAUGAGAGAAUAAAUUUCUGUUGUUGUAAACCACCAAGUUUGUGAUAAUUUGUAAUGGCAGUCCUAAGAAAUUAAUACACUCAUUAAUUGUUAUUCUCCAAUCCUGUGAGCUAAUUCAUCAGCUGAUCAAUACAUAACCUCAUUUUAUGUUUCUGUUUAAAGACACCUUAUUUAAGACAUUAUUGAUAUAUUAACACUGAAUUCAGCCAAAAACACUAACUCAUGCCUGAGCAAAGUUCAUCUAACAUAGUUUCUCCACAAGUCUCAUUAGAACCUUCUUGCACUUAGGAACACUGGACAGUCCUUCAGCAUUGUGCUUGGGUGCCAUUUUAAACAGUGAAAUCAUCAACAAAAAGCACAAAAGUAUGAAAAACAUGGCUCUAAAUAUACCUUGAAGAGGACACUUAUUUUCAGUAUGAGAACUAAAACAAGAAGAGAGAGUGUCACCUCCUUUAACCUCAGCUGGGAAUGUCCACCCUGUUGACUCAAUUUUUCAUCACUCUGCACAACAUGCAUGUCCACAAAUGACCAUGAAAGCAUUGGGAGUAUUGAUUUUCAAGUUACAAAUAAAUUUUAGCAAGUAGGUAAAUUCGCAAAUAUGAACUGCCAAUAAAUGAGAAUCAACUGUAGACCUAAAUCCAGGAAUGCUUUAAUCUUCAGUUAAGGAAAUUAAGGUGAUGAGAGAUUUUGUAUAACUUUAAAUAUAAAGCUAUAGUACUCUAUAUAGGGCAGCAGUCCCCAAGCUUUUUGGCAGCAGAGACUGGUUUCGUGGAAGACAGUUUUUCCACGGAUGGCUGGGGGAGGUGGAUAGUUCAGGCGAUGAUGCGAACAGUGGUUCAGGCGGUAAUGCGAGCAAUGGAGAGUGGCAGAUGAAGCUUCACUCAAGUUGCCCGCCACUCACCUCCUGCUGUGCGGCCGGGUUCCUAACAGGCUGCAGACUGGUACUGCUCCACAGACCAGGGGUUGAGGGCCCCCUGGUAUAGGGUACUCGGUAUAGAGUUUGAAUACUAGUCAUUGCAGAGGAUGGCCUAACAUUCUCAGCAAGUUAGCUAGACUUACUGUGGUCCCUCACAGCCAGCUAGUCCCAGCUGCCUAAAGCUCCCAUUGUAAUGUAUCUUCCACAUUAUGCUGUCCAGACCCAAGUAAAAGGACAUCUCAUUCUUCCUCUACUUGUUUCUCUCCCUUCCUUGAUAGGUUAUUCUCUUACCCCACCCUCCUUUUCUUUAGCACCAGCUUUCCCUUGUGUCCUGACUCUCCAGUGGCACAGGCUUGGGUUCUGCCAUCCCCACUCACUGCCAUUGUUGCUUAUCUGCUUAUAGUACGGUGGGAGUGGGGGGAAGCUGAGUAGAUAACCCGGCUUGGAACACCUAUUUUCAGAAUAGUAAAAAA